AUUGAACGCUGGCGGCAGGCCUAACACAUGCAAGUCGGACGGUAGCACAGAGAGCUUGCUCUCGGGUGACGAGUGGCGGACGGGUGAGUAAUGUCUGGGGAUCUGCCCGAUAGAGGGGGAUAACCACUGGAAACGGUGGCUAAUACCGCAUAACGUCGCAAGACCAAAGAGGGGGACCUUCGGGCCUCUCACUAUCGGAUGAACCCAGAUGGGAUUAGCUAGUAGGCGGGGUAACGGCCCACCUAGGCGACGAUCCCUAGCUGGUCUGAGAGGAUGACCAGCCACACUGGAACUGGGACACGGUCCAGACUCCUACGGGAGGCAGCAGUGGGGAAUAUUGCACAAUGGGCGCAAGCCUGAUGCAGCCAUGCCGCGUGUAUGAAGAAGGCCUUCGGGUUGUAAAGUACUUUCAGCGGGGAGGAAGGCGAUGUGGUUAAUAACCGUAUCGAUUGACGUUACCCGCAGAAGAAGCACCGGCUAACUCCGUGCCAGCCGCCGCAGUAA
rnacentral:rRNA from 1 species